rnacentral:rRNA from 1 species
GAAGCGGCAACAGCUCAAAUUUGAAAUCUGACCCUUUGGGGUCCGAGUUGUAAUUUGCAGAGGGUGUUUCGGGCACGGUGCCGGUUUAAGUCCUUUGGAACAGGGUGUCAUAGAGGGUGAGAACCCCGUAUGCGACCGGUCGCCAAACCCGUGUGAAACCCCUUCGACGAGUCGAGUUGUUUGGGAAUGCAGCUCAAAAUGGGUGGUAAAUUUCAUCUAAAGCUAAAUACUGGCCAGAGACCGAUAGCGCACAAGUAGAGUGAUCGAAAGAUGAAAAGCACUUUGGAAAGAGAGUCAAACAGCACGUGAAAUUGUUGAAAGGGAAGCGCUUGCGACCAGACCUGCUCGCGGGUGAUCAGCGGUGCUUUUCGCGCCGUGCACUCGUCCGCGAUCAGGCCAGCAUCGGUUCAGGCGGCCGGACAAAGACUCGGAGAAUGUAGCUCCCUCCGGGGAGUGUUAUAGCUCCUUGUGCAAUACGGCCAGCCGGGACCGAGGACCGCGCU